UCUAUUAUGUUCAUUAUCUCGCACACGUCAAACCCAGUCUACUUCGAAAUGCGUACGUGUAUACUUUGGCUGUAUACAAUCUGAAAUUUGAAAUUUAAAGCUGUCAGAUUAGCUUCUAUUAAUAUUGCGUAAAUCGGUUAGUUCAGAGUCUUUUAUCCCAAUACUUCGUCAGAUUUGUAUACUUUCUUCAUUAAAAGUACAUGUUUAUCUUAACAUAGAAGAGGUAAGUACCGCUAAUUAACCGAAUUGCAACUUGUAAUUAUAACAGCCAAAUCAUUUCAAACCAGAAGAGUGCAAGUUUAAAAAAAAAACCGAUAGAACAACAUACAGUGCCGCAUUCAAACUACACAUACAUAGGGUUUCAUCUCGUGGUAUAUAACGAGUCAAUAGAGCAUUCUCAAUGUUAAAAAAUACGGAAUAUUGUGGUUCUUUACAAAACUCAUUACCUUCUCAAUAGUACCACUAAAAUCAGUGAUAACUGUUUCAGAGGCGUCCGUAUAUACCUUUUUUACUGUUGUAUCUUAAUUAGCCAAUUUUCUCGUAUCUUCUUUCUAU